CAAACAUAACAUUUAUUUUGUGCCACUAUAAUUUAUUUAAUAUUUUACUUGAAGGGUACAAUUCCAAGAAGGUAAGGGGUAAGGGAAAGAUAGCGUACCACAUCGAGGGGACUGAGAACAGGGCAUUGGAAGCGGAGCAUAAAAUAGGACAAGGGGGCAACACUACAAAUUACUUACCUGGAUGGGGUCAUAGAUGAUCAAGAAGGUCCAUGGCCUAGGUUAGUAACCUCCAUUGCACUUGUGAGGGGUGCUCGCCUAAGAUCUAUUUAAGUGGUGGAGUCUACAUCAUAAUUUGUGACAGGGGGAAUUGCGUUCGCGCAGUCCCCACAACUCCAGUGAAAACAUAGCUUCACAUAUACAUGCCAUAUUAAUUUCUAUAUUCAGAUGCUCCGUUAAGAGUAAUAAUACAAGAAAUCAGUUCUUUAUCCGGCCUGGAAACAUAUAUCACUAUGUCAUCAACAAAAUGCAGAUAUAUAAUCACAACAAUAGAAGAGGAACUUCAGAGCGAGAAAGUCAAAAAAUUUCUUCAACUCCGUCGAAGCUUUUCAACAAAAAUAAGUUUUCACCUCAUACUGUUACAUGACAUUACAGAUCAGAUAUAUAGCUUAUUGUAAUCUUUUGAGUAGAACUAAUGCAUAGUAUUACAAUAUCUUUAUAUGUGUAUAUUCACUUCAGUUAUUAUCCCACAUCGGGAACAUCAACAACCCUGCUUGCUUGAAAUAUGAACUCAAUUCUCCUGUCAAGUUUGUGUUCGUAGAAAGGAGAGAUGGUUGGCAUCUCCCCUGACAGGGACGGGAACUGCUCUCUUGAGCAUUACCUGUUACCACACAUCCGGUUAAGGCUUUCCACUUCGGCGGAUCUUAUAACCCAAUUUUUUUUUUUGGUCGUAACUAUUGCUCAUGGGAUGAUCUUAGGCUAUGCAUUCAUUCCUAAGGAACAUAUUGAACCUAUACAAGUAGUGACUUGUCGAGCAGCAUGCCUUUUUAAUAAUCAGAACACGCGGCUACUUAAUGAAUCAAAGUGAAAAUUAAUGUUGUGUUUGGUUGGGGUGAAUGAUUCUGGAAGGAAUGUAAUGAAAAAUGAACUAUAUUAUGAAUAAUUAUUAAGAAAUUCCAUUCCUUCCUCCAUUCCAUUCCUUACCUCAUUUGCUAAAUAUCACACCUUAGAUGGAAUGCUCCAUUCUCUCCCAUCCUCAAUUUCUUCUCAAAACUCAUCAUAGCAAUUUUGCACUCCUUCAAUUUUAUUUCAAAACUUUCUUCCUAUCUCUAUUUAGUUUCAUGUAUUUUUAUUCAUUCCAUUCCACUCUCCCCAACCAAACACAACAUAAGUGUGGAACUGUAAGAAGAGGAAAAAGUAGAGUACAAUCAAAUGAAACUUAAUAAUGUACUGGUUUUACAUGGUUGCCGAUUUCAAAGAGGUGUACAAUUUUAGCUUACAGGGAUAAACCAGAUUCCUCGUCCUCAUCAAGGCCGGAGGUGUAAACAAAGUAAAGCGACCAAAUCAAACCAAACAUGCCCAAAAGGAUCCAACCAAGAAGGUUGUUGCUCAAGCCAAAUGGAAGUCCAGUUCCUUCCGUGCUCAAUCUUUCAUCAACUAGUGCCAUGGCUGCAGGGCUCGACAUGGCUGCAGCAGUAGCAGCAGCCAUCAAUGAUGCUCCCAUAUCCACCUUGGUGCUGCCCUUUUGCGAUCCAGUGUUGGCUUUCAUUGAGCACCUCACCUUUCCGACUUUUGGCAUGACUGGCAAUCC